GGCCUUUAUAAUAUAAAAGAGUAAGUUGCAUGUUGUAUUUUAGGGCGUUGUUAUAAUUCUUUUUUUUGCAUUUGCAAUUUGAAACAUCUAUCAACCAAAACGGAAAUAACCACAUCAUAGUCGAAGAAGCAGGAACAAUUAAUAGCUAUACACUGGAUCCCACAUUUUUAGAAGGGAGUCAAUAUCAAUUAUUUAUUUGAAAAUUUUUUUUUAAUGAAAAUGUUUUUUUGUAUGGGAAGAAUCGUCAAGAAGGUAAGAAGCUUACGGCGAGAUAUCGCAGAGUUGAGGAAUAGCAGAGACAAUGUUCCAUCAAAAAAGAUUAUGCCAGCGGAACCUUUAAACACAGUGGAGCGAUUUAAGGAAUUGGAGAGUUUACUCCAGAAGGAUGAAGAAUAUGCUAAAUUUAAAUCAGAACUUAUGCAAAAUAUUAAAUACACAGGAGCGAAAUUCAUCAGAACAGCUUGGCGCUCAUUGGUAUCCGAUGAAUGUGCUCAACAUUUUGCUUGGAGUGGAACGUCAGACAAAAAACCUGUCCGCGUCUUAAAAGUAUCUAUGGCUAUCCGAGAUGUCUUCUUACAUGAAGUGAAGGGCAAUGACACUGAAUAUAUAAGUGGCACCAAGACGAUUUUUCAGUUUGCCCAAAAUAGACAAAAACGGAAGCCCCAAAAUGCAGCAAAUUAAUUAUUUU